GACGAACGCUGGCGGCGUGCUUAACACAUGCAAGUCGAACGGAAAGGCCCUGCUUUUGUGGGGUGCUCGAGUGGCGAACGGGUGAGUAACACGUGAGUAACCUGCCCUUGACUUUGGGAUAACUUCAGGAAACUGGGGCUAAUACCGGAUAGGAGCUCCUGCUGCAUGGUGGGGGUUGGAAAGUUUCGGCGGUUGGGGAUGGACUCGCGGCUUAUCAGCUUGUUGGUGGGGUAGUGGCUUACCAAGGCUUUGACGGGUAGCCGGCCUGAGAGGGUGAGCGGCCACAGUGGGACUUAGAUCCGGCCCAGACUCCGACGGGCGGCAGCAGUGGGGAAGAUUGCACAAUGGGCGGAAGCCUGAUGCAGCAACGCCGCGUGCGGGAUGACGGCCUGCGAGUGGUAAACCGCGUUCGCCUGUGACGAAGCGUGAGUGACGGGAAUGGGUAAAGAAGCACCGGCUAACUACGUG
rnacentral:rRNA from 1 species